GACGAACGCUGGCGGCGUGCUUAACACAUGCAAGUCGAACGGAAAGGCCCUGCUUGCAGGGUACUCGAGUGGCGAACGGGUGAGUAACACGUGGGUGAUCUGCCCUGCACUUCGGGAUAAGCCUGGGAAACUGGGUCUAAUACCGGAUAGGAGCCAUUUUUAGUGUGAUGGUUGGAAAGUUUUUUCGGUGUAGGAUGAGCUCGCGGCCUAUCAGCUUGUUGGUGGGGUAAUGGCCUACCGAGGCGGCGACGGGUAGCCGGCCUGAGAGGGUGGACGGCCACAUUGGGACUGAGAUACGGCCCAGACUCCUACGGGAGGCAGCAGUGGGGAAUAUUGCACAAUGGGCGCAAGCCUGAUGCAGCGACGCCGCGUGGGGGAUGACGGCCUUCGGGUUGUAAACUCCUUUCGCUAGGGACGAAGCUUUUUGUGACGGUACCUAGAUAAGAAGCACCGGCUAACUACG
rnacentral:rRNA from 1 species